UAAUACAUGUCUACAUGAUUAAUUUAAUACAUUUUAUAAAUAUUUAUGUCUCCUAGUCCUGCCACGAAAUCAUUGUGCAGUUACUGGUGCUACAGCAAGUCCAUAGAUCUGGAUGUUUGACAGUGCCUUUGAAAACAUCAGUGCUCUUUCCUCUGGCUUUAAACUAUAUCAAAGAGACAUUUGUCUUUUCUUUGGAGCGGGCCACUAAAUAAAUUCAAGACUUCAUCUGCGUGUGAACAAGUCUAAACUUGAGUUGCUGUUUGGCGCAAUUAGGACAUAAUUAAAUUUAGUAUUAACCAAAUAUAUUACAGAGCAUCAUCAUAGACCAUUUCAAUAACAAAAAUAUGAUGAAUUAUUUGAUAGACAAUUUAACCAUGACUGUCCUCUUUUUAUUAAAUUCGCUGCAUAUCUGUCAUUAACACACACAGUAAGAGUGUGUUCCCAUAUGGCAGGUUUGGUAAAAGUAAAUCAAACUCUGUUGCAGUUGCUGUGUUGGAGUAGUUUGUUUGAAUAAGUGUGAAAGUUUUUGUGCACAUCAAUCUAGCUUACAGAGACCGGUGAAAGAUGGGUUUUGGUCUGUGAUUCAACUGAAAUACAAACAAAAUGUGGAUCAAAGACAUCUAAACAAACCAAAAGAGCAUAUGAUGCAACAAAAUAAAAGGGACACAAUACUCAAGCAUACCAUCGUUGCAGUGUUGCUCAUUAUAGUUCAAUAAAGGUGUUGGAAACGUAUGAAGGUAUUUUUGGGGCAAAUCUCCCAAGCAGCUGUAAAAGUGUAAUUUGUAGUUGUAAAGAAUAGCCACAAAUGUGUAUCAGUAAAUUUGUACUCGCAGAGCAAAUUUGCAAAUGUGUAUCAGUAAAUUUGUACUCGCAGAGCAAAUUUGCAAAUGUGUAUCAGUAAAUUUGUACUUGCAGAGCAAAUUUGCAAAUGUGUAGGUAUUUUUUGUCUCCAACAAACACAACGCAACAUUUACACCUGCACAAAUCCUUCAGUACAGGUGCACAAAUCCCAUCGGACGAAUCACAAAUGCAGAAACUCAUCUGCUCAUGUUCUUUGCUACUAUUGUUUCAGUGAAUAUGGUGCAAAACACAUUCACACACCUGCAUCCAGAAAUGUGAAGUCACAGACAAAACUUGCACAUCUGUAGAUUAGAAUGUGUAUCCGCACAAAGAUAGCUGAACGUGUGUAGAAUGUUUGAUUUAUUUUUUUCCAAGCACGAACACAAAUAUGUUCCUGCAACUGCUCAAAUCUGCCGCUACGAGUCUCAAGCGCUGUUUUUCACUUGCAAAUCUACGUUUCGCUCUCUCGCUCUUCUGCACCAAACAUCACUGUGACAUUUGGUGCAAAAGUGACUUGUGUAUCUGCCAACCAAAACGUGGGCUCUCAGAGAAAUUCAGCCAAUAGGGGAUGGGGCGUGACGUCACCGCUCUAGCGCUGCGGAGGCUGAACUUCGAAACCGAAACCCCCUUUGCGAGAUUCGCCGCAUCUAUACCUGAUUUGCGUUCAAAAAUACCUGCUUAAUUAUUUCAUAGUAGGAGCAAACAUGCCUUAAUAAAAGGAGCACAUUUGAAACUUUAGUAACCAUAAAAAGUACACCAAGUGGAUGCCUUUCUACUCCAGGAAGCCGCAGCAUACGGCCUGAAGGAGGAAGGACGCGGUCAGUUUGAAAUAGCUGAAUCGAUGACAUCCUGAAAGCAGCAAUGCAGUUAAGACAGAGGCCCAUGUUUUGCUGCAUCUCCACACAGCUGGGCCAGUUCUGCAGAUUAUCAGAGGGAGUUCGCCAUCAUCACAUCCCUCAUUGCUGCAGUCAGACUGAAACAGGACGGUGAUGCAUGGCAGUCCAUGCCCGAGAUAUGGACGAUAAAGAGGCCACAGCAAUAUCUGGUCCAGAUGAGGACACAAGGGCAGGUGGACUGAUGCAGGGUCUCGUUCAAUUGACUACAGGAGAACAGGACUGGCCAAACUCAGUCCAGAACUGCUGCUGUCUUGCAGAGUUUAGUUGAAGUUGACUUUAAACUUCACCAGCCGUCCAGAACUAAGUUUGGGCACCCCUGCAUUACAGCAUUUCCAGGAUGCUGCUGUGGACUUCUUUACCCUCACCACACACACCAAUCUGCAGAUAUUUCAAAUCAUACAAAACAUAAAAAAACAUUCAAAAAACAAAGUAAUUUUACUGCACAAUGUGUCAUUUGAUUUCUGUAGUGCUAGUAAUAAAAUGAUCCUACCUCUUA